AGUGAACGCUGGCGGUAGGCCUAACACAUGCAAGUCGAACGGCAGCACAGUAAGAGCUUGCUCUUACGGGUGGCGAGUGGCGGACGGGUGAGGAAUACAUCGGAAUCUACUUUUUCGUGGGGGAUAACGUAGGGAAACUUACGCUAAUACCGCAUACGACCUACGGGUGAAAGCAAGGGAUCUUCGGACCUUGCGCGAUUGAAUGAGCCGAUGUCGGAUUAGCUAGUUGGCGGGGUAAAGGCCCACCAAGGCGACGAUCCGUAGCUGGUCUGAGAGGAUGAUCAGCCACACUGGAACUGAGACACGGUCCAGACUCCUACGGGAGGCAGCAGUGGGGAAUAUUGGACAAUGGGCGCAAGCCUGAUCCAGCCAUACCGCGUGGGUGAAGAGGGCCUUCGGGUUGUAAAGCCCUUUUGUUGGGAAAGAAAAGCAGCAGGUUAAUACCCCGCUGUUCUGACGGUACCCAAAGAAUAAGCACCGGCUAACUUCGUG
rnacentral:rRNA from 1 species